GGGCACGUGGCGAAACGGCAGACGCGCUAGUUUUAGGGACUAGUGGGAGAAAUCCCGUGGAGGUUCGAGUCCUCUCGUGCCCA
rnacentral:tRNA from 1 species